rnacentral:rRNA from 1 species
CCUACGGGCGGCAGCAGUGAGGAAUAUUGGUCAAUGGACGAGAGUCUGAACCAGCCAAGUCGCGUGAGGGAAGACGGUCCUAUGGAUUGUAAACCUCUUUUGUCAGGGAGCAACGCCGGCUACGUGUAGCCGGACUGAGAGUACCUGAAGAAAAAGCAUCGGCUAACUCCGUGCCAGCAGCCGCGGUAAUACGGAGGAUGCGAGCGUUAACCGGGUUUAUUGGGUUUAAAGGGUGCGUAGGCGGAAUGCCAAGUCAGCGGUAAAAUCGGGGGGCUCAACCUCGCUCCGCCGUUGAAACUGGCGUUCUUGAGUGGGCGAGAAGUAUGCGGAAUGCGUGGUGUAGCGGUGAAAUGCAUAGAUAUCACGCAGAACUCCGAUUGCGAAGGCAGUUCACUGGACUGCAACUGACACUGAGGCUCGAAAGUGUGGGUAUCAAACAGGAUUAGAUACCCGGGUAGUC